GCAGUGGGGAAUAUUGGACAAUGGGCGCAAGCCUGAUCCAGCCAUACCGCGUGGGUGAAGAAGGCCUUCGGGUUGUAAAGCCCUUUUGUUGGGAAAGAAAAGCAGUCGAUUAAUACUCGGUUGUUCUGACGGUACCCAAAGAAUAAGCACCGGCUAACUUCGUGCCAGCAGCCGCGGUAAUACGAAGGGUGCAAGCGUUACUCGGAAUUACUGGGCGUAAAGCGUGCGUAGGUGGUUGUUUAAGUCUGUUGUGAAAGCCCUGGGCUCAACCUGGGAAUUGCAGUGGAUACUGGGCGACUAGAGUGUGGUAGAGGGUAGUGGAAUUCCCGGUGUAGCAGUGAAAUGCGUAGAGAUCGGGAGGAACAUCCAUGGCGAAGGCAGCUACCUGGACCAACACUGACACUGAGGCACGAAAGCGUGGGGAGCAAACAGGAUUAGA
rnacentral:rRNA from 1 species